rnacentral:rRNA from 1 species
UACGUAGGUGGCAAGCGUUGUCCGGAAUUAUUGGGCGUAAAGCGCGCGCAGGCGGUCCUUUAAGUCUGAUGUGAAAGCCCACGGCUCAACCGUGGAGGGUCAUUGGAAACUGGGGGACUUGAGUGCAGAAGAGGAAAGCGGAAUUCCACGUGUAGCGGUGAAAUGCGUAGAGAUGUGGAGGAACACCAGUGGCGAAGGCGCUUUCUGGUCUGUAACUGACGCUGAGGCGCGAAAGCGUGGGGAGCAAACAGG